rnacentral:rRNA from 1 species
UACGUAGGGUGCAAGCGUUAAUCGGAAUUAUUGGGCGUAAAGCGCGCGCAGGCGGUCCUUUAAGUCUGAUGUGAAAGCCCACGGCUCAACCGUGGAGGGUCAUUGGAAACUGGGGGACUUGAGUACAGAAGAGGAAAGCGGAAUUCCACGUGUAGCGGUGAAAUGCGUAGAGAUGUGGAGGAACACCAGUGGCGAAGGCGGCUUUCUGGUCUGUAACUGACGCUGAGGCGCGAAAGCGUGGGGAGCAACAGG